rnacentral:rRNA from 1 species
AGUGAACGCUGGCGGUAGGCCUAACACAUGCAAGUCGAACGGCAGCACAGCAGUAGCAAUACUGUGGGUGGCGAGUGGCGGACGGGUGAGGAAUACAUCGGAAUCUACCUUUUCGUGGGGGAUAACGUAGGGAAACUUACGCUAAUACCGCAUACGACCUUAGGGUGAAAGCGGAGGACCUUCGGGCUUCGCGCGGAUAGAUGAGCCGAUGUCGGAUUAGCUAGUUGGCGGGGUAAAGGCCCACCAAGGCUACGAUCCGUAGCUGGUCUGAGAGGAUGAUCAGCCACACUGGAACUGAGACACGGUCCAGACUCCUACGGGAGGCAGCAGUGGGGAAUAUUGGACAAUGGGCGCAAGCCUGAUCCAGCCAUACCGCGUGGGUGAAGAAGGCC